rnacentral:rRNA from 1 species
GAUGACGAGCGGCGGACGGGUGAGUAAUACUUAGGAAUCUACCUAGUAGUGGGGGAUAGCUCGGGGAAACUCGAAUUAAUACCGCAUACGACCUACGGGAGAAAGGGGGCAACUUGUUGCUCUCGCUAUUAGAUGAGCCUAAGUCGGAUUAGCUAGAUGGUGGGGUAAAGGCCUACCAUGGCGACGAUCUGUAGCUGGUCUGAGAGGAUGAUCAGCCACACCGGGACUGAGACACGGCCCGGACUCCUACGGGAGGCAGCAGUGGGGAAUAUUGGACAAUGGGGGAAACCCUGAUCCAGCCAUGCCGCGUGUGUGAAGAAGGCCUUUUGGUUGUAAAGCACUUUAAGCAGUGAAGAAGACUCUUCGGUUAAUACCCGGAGACGAUGACAUUAGCUGCAGAAUAAGCACCGGCUAACUCUGUGCCAGCAGCCGCGGUAAUACAGAGGGUGCAAGCGUUAAUCGGAAUUACUGGGCGUAAAGCGAGCGUAGGUGGCUUGAUAAGUCAGAUGUGAAAUCCCCGGGCUUAACCUGGGAACUGCAUCUGAUACUGUCAGGCUAGAGUAGGUGAGAGGAAGGUAGAAUUCCAGGUGUAGCGGUGAAAUGCGUAGAGAUCUGGAGGAAUACCGAUGGCGAAGGCAGCCUUCUGGCAUCAUACUGACACUGAGGCUCGAAAGCGUGGGUAGCAAACAGGAUUAGAUACCCUGGUAGUCCACGCCGUAAACGAUGUCUACUAGUCGUUGGGUCCCUUGAGGACUUAGUGACGCAGCUAACGCAAUAAGUAGACCGCCUGGGGAGUACGGCCGCAAGGUUAAAACUCAA